AUACGUAGGGGGCGAGCGUUGUCCGGAAUUAUUGGGCGUAAAGGGCGCGUAGGCGGAUAUUUAAGUCUGGUGUGAAAGGCGGGGGCUUAACCCCCGAGUGGCAUCGGAAACUGGAUAUCUUGAGGACAGGAGAGGGAAGUGGAAUUCCACGUGUAGCGGUGAAAUGCGUAGAGAUGUGGAGGAACACCAGUGGCGAAGGCGACUUUCUGGACUGUAACUGACGCUGAGGCGCGAAAGCGUGGGGAGCAAACAGGAUUAGAUACCCUGGUAGUCCACGCCGUAAACGAUGAGUGCUAGGUGUAGAGGGUAUCGACCCCCUCUGUGCCGGAGUCAACACAAUAAGCACUCCGCCUGGGGAGUACGGCCGCAAGGUUGAA
rnacentral:rRNA from 1 species